rnacentral:tRNA from 1 species
GGCCUUAAGGUGAUAAUCAUAUCGAAUUGCAAGUUCGAAGGUGUAGAUAAUAUUUCUACUAAGGCUU